rnacentral:rRNA from 1 species
UGGGGAAUCUUGCGCAAUGGGCGAAAGCCUGACGCAGCAACGCCGCGUGAGGGACGAAGGUUUUCUGAAUUGUAAACCUCUUUCAGCAGGGAAGAUAAUGACGGUACCUGCAGAAGAAGCACCGGCUAACUACGUGCCAGCAGCCGCGGUGAUACGUAGGGUGCAAGCGUUGUCCGGAUUUAUUGGGCGUAAAGAGCUCGUAGGCGGUUUGGUAAGUCGGUUGUGAAAUCCCCAGGCUCAACCUGGGGCCUGCAUUCGAUACUGCCAUGACUAGAGUUUGGUAGGGGACCACGGAAUUCCUGGUGUAGCGGUGGAAUGCGCAGAUAUCAGGAGGAACACCAGUAGCGAAGGCGGUGGUCUGGGCCAAUACUGACGCUGAGGAGCGAAAGCGUGGGGAGCAAACAGG